UUUUGCGCCCGACCCUCGAAUACUCUUCCACCAGACGGACGUCCGCCUUGACUUUGCUUCGAAUACGAAAAACCGGGGGCGGGGGAUGAGACAAGCGGGCGGGCGGGGGCAGGGCGUCAUGACGUAACCGACGGUCUCGUCAGAGAAAAUGGAGAAGAAACUGACCAAUA
ensembl:ncRNA R09H10.11 ncRNA